GGUAGGACAAGCGCUCUGCAGAAGGGUACUUCAGGUGAUACAGAUCUUGAAGACUCCCCAGGCAGCCCUGCCCCAUGAUGCAGAGGGGGGGGGGAGGUUGAACAGGGUGGGAAAACUUUCUUGCAGUUGGAAGUUAUCUCCAAGGCUGGAUGAAUUUAUACUGAAUAACAAAAUCCAGACUUUACUCCAGACAAUAGAGAAAAUAGCAUGACGGGAGAUGGGGAUGUGGGAGAACCCAGCAGGGAGGGAGCGCAGAACUGAGCCCUAGCUGACUAAAGGCAGGAGGAACUGUGAGCUCAGGGGAAAGGCUCCAUUUGCAGCAAGAGGUGCCCUGAGGGCUUAAUGAAAAACACAUUAAAUACGAAUUAAUAGCUGGAAAUCUGCAAGUUGCAAUAGAGUUGAUCUGGCUGUGCGGUGUAUCCCAACCCCUCUGAUAAACAGUGGAGGGUUCUCUGUAAUACUUGGGGCUAAGGUCAGGCAGGACAUAGACCUAAAUCAGUCACUACUUCAGACUUUAAACUUGUCACUUUAAUCUCUUGGACAUUCUUUUUUUUUUCCUGUCUUGUCUUGUUUUUGUUUUUGUUUGGAGCAAGAUAUCACUGUUUCACAAUCUAUUUUGAACUUACCAUUCUCCUGCUCAAGCUCUCAAGUGCUGAAAUUACAGGACUAUACUACCAAGCUUAAAGAGUUUGUUAAAAUUCUGAGCUGGGUCUCGACUUCCACUAACGGCUCCUGACACCAGAGUCCGGGAUCAAUCUUGAUAUCUGCAUGUUCAACAGGUCCCCAAGAGAUGUUGAUGGUGCUUCACCCAGAGCCACUGUAACCAAGGUUAAAGAAGCUUGAUUCAAGCUCAAGCCCUUUUUCUGAUUAUGGGUAAAUGAGAGCUCAAGUAACAGCUGCAACUGAUUGAAAAUGACAUCCAAACAGAGAUGCUUUAGGCUGCCUCUGGACUCCCAGGACAUUUAGAAAUAAUUCAGGUAUUGCUUCUUAUCAGCUGGAUAUCUGAAGCCUGUACAUUUCCACCCCCAUUCCCCAUAAUGGAUUCUGACAGAGUAAAAGCCACCUGGAAAACAUUUGAAUGUUCUUCUUUAAGAGGACAGUUAGCUGCUUUUCCCCCAGGGACACUGAAUCAGCAGUACCAUUCAGCUGGUUAACAUGUGGGCUGUGCCGGGCUUCUGUUUGGCCUUGUGUUGUUUUCUGUCUGUUUGUUCCUGGUGAUCUUCAUUUGUCUUUCAAAGGUAGAAUGAAAAGGAUCUAUUUCCUCAUCCCACCUUACAUCAUAGGUAGAUAAAAGUGAGUUAAUCUUUAAUGAAGCAGAAAGUGAGUUGUAGCAAAGGCAAUUUCCUCCUAGGCCUUCCAUGGUGGCUCUUGUUCACUUUAUUGGGUUCAUCAGCCAAAUGGUUACUUAUUCAUAUCUCCAGCUAGAAGAUAUUGAACAGUGCUACGUGGAAGGCAUGUUGACAGGCUGGAGUUUUCCUUUCCCUCUUGUAAUUACUGGGAAGAGGUGCUCAGGCUUCUGGCUCAUCCACACAGCGUGAGUCCUGUUUGCCCUUUCGUUCUGUCCUGGUGCAGUCCCUCAGCUGGUUAAUCAUUUUACCAAACAAGCUGAUGACUCAUCUAGCAUUUCAGAGUGGUAAAAUAACCGCUUCAGUGAUUUCUGGUUUUGAAAUCUCUAGGUAUUAUGAAAUAUUCUAUUUCUUUGUAAAUUAAACGCAGUUUCCUCGGCCUGGCGUUUGAGGUGUUCUCUGAUCAGCUUGAGUGGCACCGGCAUUCAAGUCAGUCCUGGGCAGUCAGCACCAAGUCUGAAGGAGGCAGCAGCCACAUCCGCUUUGCUGUUUUUCUUGUUGCUGUUGUCUUUUUGAGACAGGGUUUCCCUGUAGCCCCAGCUGGCCUGGACAUCUACUUUCGCAUGGGUCUCCUUCCUUCAAUUUAGGAUGAACUCUACCUCCACAAAGGCCAUGAAGCUCUGGAAAAUCAACCUCAAGUUCAACUUCCUCUGUUGGGAUUUGUGACCCACAGCAACUCACACCAAGUUCUUUAUCUUCACUUCCGGAACAGUUUAUUCUGGGACACUCAUUGGACACAUGCUGAGUCUCUCUGGUAUUGUGAAAUAUUUGGUUUUUCUCUCCUCUAAGGUCUUUGAGGACCUUGUUGCAUGUUUCCCAUGUCCAGCCUGGAGCUUAGAAAUUAUUAACUGGUCAGGUUGGUGGGGAUGGGACGAAAGUGGUCUCAGCAAUGUUUAUAGUAAUGGUCAUUGUUGAAGAAUAUUUAUUUGGAAUUGUCUCCAUCAGGAAAGUGUUCACAGAAUCACCUAAAUUCAAGAAAUAAAAGCCUUGAGCCAGUUAUGGUACCACAGGCCUGUAAUCCCAGCAAUCCGGAGGCCAAGGCACAGUGAGUUCCAUCCAGACUAGGGGAGGCUACUCAGUGAGACCUAGUAUCAAAAAAUUAAAAUGAAACCUCGAGUUACUAAAGUUAGUUGCUAAAAAGGUUAAUACAAUGUCUGGAAGUCAUUGUUCUGAAUUGAGAGAGUUUGAUGGUUUCGUUUUUGUUUGUUUGUUUGUUUUCCUUGCUUUAUAAGAAGCUUUAAGGCUUAAACGGUCUUCUCGGGGGUUAUAUAACACAGCCUUGCAGUAAAUAGUGUGUUUAUUCUUUAUUGAGCUUUAAAAAUCUUUGCUAAUUAAUUAACUCAUUAGUCACAAGCUAAACCAUCAAGUUGAAAGGAAAAAGGAAAAGAGCGGCCUUGCAGUUUUACAGCAGUGUGUGCGCACAUCUGUGUUCUAAAGCCCUGAGAGAAGAGUGUGUGAUCCGUUGGGUCCCGCUUUGGAGUAGGGCUUCAUUUUUUAUUGUUUAGUCUGUCUUUUGGCAUGGAGAGUGUAUAUGGGGCUCUGCAAUUAUCAGUAUCUCAGUGAACAUUGCCUCUCCUGACAGCCAGCUUACCACACAGCUUUCUGCCCUGGAUACUGGAGUUUCUCACUUUACACAGCAGGAGAGAAACAAAACCCUGGACAGUACGAUUUACACUGAAGGUCUAACCUGUACUUCUAGACACGUGUAGAAGGGAGAUAGGAAGAAAGGGACAGAAGAGGUGGCACAAAAGAACCAUUGUCCACGACGAGCAAAAUGAAUCAAAGCCUAAAAUUGGAAAGAAAACUCUAGAGCUAGACACACAAAUCUACUCAGUCGAUUUGGAUCAUUUCAACUCUAUGACAAUUAACAAAUUACAAAAUUUACUCUUUAAAAACCAUCAGUGUUCUUUGACCUCUCGAUUUUUAUUUUGAAGGGCAUCCAUACUCUGAAGAUUCAAUUCAGGUCUCUGUUCCUUGUGGUAUGGAUAGAUAGGGAGGAAGGCUGGGCCAGAGUGUGGUGUCCUCGUGCUAACCCACCCCACUGAGCUACUCACUCUCAGAGCAAUUCUAAAAUCAGUUCCAUGCUUCCUGGACAGGCUGACGUCACCCUCUCCUACCAGACUGAAGGACCAAGCUGCUCGAUUUGUGCUCAUUAAAAUUCUGUAUACUACACUAUGCAGGAGCUGGUGCCUAUUUUCAAGAUAGCCAUAAAACAAAGCAGAAAGUGUUCUUGUCUCUUCGCCAAGGUGGGGGAACAGACAGGAGUCAUGAGGGAUGAGGCCACAGGGAGGAGACAGGGAGGGAAGCAUCCCUUUGAUACUGCUUACCAAAUUCUAGCAAUGGAAUGAAGUGUCAUCCAUCUGCCUUGAUAAAGCAUCUAAAACAGGAAUGAAUUCGAAAGUACUACAAGAAUUUUAAGCUGAGCCAGACUAGCCACGAAGGUAGUAACAGACAGUUUAAUCUGGGAAAUGACUUUUCCACCUAGGAAAUUGAAAACAUUAUUCUCGGUUCUUUCAUUAUUUUCCUUAAGUCGUCUUCCUUCUCACCAUCCAUUUAUAAAGGAAAAUAUCCAUCAUCCGUCUCGGUACUAUUUGCAUAAACAUGGAAACUAGUUCCCGCAGAUCUCCAUUACGUGUAUGUGUGGGGAGCUGUGCAUGCACACACAUUGCAUAUGCAAAUAGAGGCAUGCAUAUACAUUUGUUACCAGUACUUCUGAGUUCCGGCUACCACAGUGGGGGAGGGGGUGCUCUGGGGCUCAGUUUCAGCUCUGUCUGGCUCCGAUGCCGAUGGUGGUGGCUUCGCUCAGGGGUUCAGCUUGCGGAGCUGUGGGAGAAGAGCUGCUCCUUGCCCCAUGACAGAAUCUUUGGACCACCGCACCAUUUGCCCAGGGCUGCAAAGGUCCUGGGUUCAUCCUGAGAGGUAGGAGGAAAAGCCUUGCAAAUGGGAGGUGCCACUCAGAGAUGGUGCAAGACCUCAUAGCUGCUUUUGAGGAGCACAUAUGCUGCUGUUUCUACAGAAACCCACUGACAAAGAUGACUUUGUGUCAGAACAGGACAGCCACUCUUGUUUUAAACAUU